rnacentral:snRNA from 1 species
AACAUGGUGACAUGUGGAAUAUA